UACAGAGGGGGCAAGCGUUAUUCGGAAUUAUUGGGCGUAAAGGGCGCGUAGGCGGCUUUGCAAGUGACGGGUGAAAUCCCUCGGCUUAACCGAGGAACUGCCUGUCAGACUGCAUGGCUUGAGACCAGGAGAGGUGAGUGGAAUUCCCAGUGUAGCGGUGAAAUGCGUAGAUAUUGGGAGGAACACCAGUGGCGAAGGCGGCUCACUGGACUGGCACUGACGCUGAUGCGCGAAAGCCAGGGGAGCAAACGGG
rnacentral:rRNA from 1 species